CCGUAAACUUAAAUAGUCCUAAAACAAGACUAUUCGCCAGAGUACUAUCGGCAACAGCCCAAAACUCAAAGGACUUGGCGGUGCUUCAUAUCCUUCUAGAGGAGCCUGUUCUGUAAACGAUAAACCACGAUUAACCUCACCAAUCCUUGCUACUUCAGUCUAUAUACCGCCAUCUUCAGCAAACCCUAAAAAAGGAACGAAAGUAAGCACAACCACUGCACGUAAAAACGUUAGGUCAAGGUGUAACCUAUGGAUUGGGAAGAAAUGGGCUACAUUUUCUAUAAUAAGAACACCCCAUAAACUUACACGAAAGUUUUUAUGAAACCUAAAAACUAAAGGAGGAUUUAGCAGUAAAUUAAGAAUAGAAUGCUUAAUUGAAUAAGGCCA
rnacentral:rRNA from 1 species